AAAGCAGUGGUUCUCUUAGGACUUCUUGGGGAAGUGUGGUCCCAGUGGUCAUCACCAUGAACAGCCAGGUGUCAGCCCGGAAAGCAGGGACACUCCUCCUGCUGAUGAUGUCAAACCUUCUGUUCUGCCAAAAUGUGCAGACCCUGCCAGUCUGUUCUGGUGGCGACUGCCAGACACCUCUCCCGGAGCUGUUUGACCGUGUGGUCAUGCUUUCUCACUACAUCCAUACCCUGUAUACAGAUAUGUUUAUUGAAUUUGAUAAACAGUAUGUCCAAGAUCGUGAGUUUAUUGCCAAGGCCAUCAAUGACUGCCCCACUUCUUCCCUAGCUACUCCUGAAGACAAGGAACAAGCCCAGAAAGUCCCUGUGGAAUCCAUGAAGCUCCUGAUGCUAUCAUAUCAAGAGCCAAAGAGAUUGAGGAACAAAACAAGCGGCUUCUUGAAGGGAUUGAAAAGAUAAUUAGCCAGGCCUAUCCUGAAGCCAAAGGAAAUGAGAUCUACUUGGUUUGGUCACAACUCCCAUCCCUGCAAGGAGUUGAUGAAGAAUCCAAAGACUUGGCUUUUUAUAACAACAUUCGGUGCCUGCGCAGGGAUUCCCACAAGGUUGACAAUUAUCUCAAGUUCCUGAGAUGCCAAAUUGUCCAUAAAAACAACUGCUAAGCCUACAUUCAUUCCAUGUACAUCUGAGAUGUUCUUAAAAGUCUAUUUCUUCAAAGG
rnacentral:lncRNA from 1 species